AAUUUGAACUCUAUCUUUUGAACUCUACGUUGUAGUUAUUGAAUGUACUUGCAUGUUUGCACUUUUGAUCUAUUUGAUUAAUCAUUCACAUAAUUUCAUUUCUAAGAUUAAUUAUUGAUGUUCCUUUAUUUUCAUGGUCUGCAAUUCGAGUUUUUAAGGUAGACUGAUUGCUUUACAUUCACGAAAAAAAGAUAAUCAGUUUCAUACAGACCAAGUUAAAGGUUUGGACAAUAGAUUAUAUAAUUGGAAACUACAUCAAACUGAUGGUCAAACAUUUAAGCUUACAGACGUCUUUGUACUCUGUGAAAGUAUGCAAAAUCUUUCUCAGGACAUUGCCUACCCUAUUUCAAGCUGACACCCCACACAUUACACUAGAAUAGAUAUUUGUUUUAUCACAAUAUUUUCUAUCCUGUAAGUUUGUUUCCAUUUUUAUACUCCAUCUUAUCUUCUUGGUCUCUUAAAUUCAAGAAAGCAUUCUUGACCACCCAUCAGUUAUUACACUACAUAGACUCUUCAUAGUUCAUACUCACCUAACAGCUUUCAGAUUCCCACAUAAUUUCUUCAAGUUCAACUCUAUCCACCAAGAUGCUGUUUAACAAGAUUCAGAAACUGCAGAGUCUUCAAACAGAAAAAACGGAAUGGACCAUACGCGUUCGAGCACAGUCCAUCUGGGAAGGUGUGAAUCGUAAAACUAACGAAUUUAAGGGACUCAACCUCAUCUUAAUUGAUGAUUCGAGUACUCGAAUCCAUGCUUUUCUGAAUGCAAAUUGUUGUG